rnacentral:lncRNA from 1 species
AAGUGCCACAGAAGCCUACACCCGGCCCACAUAGCUCAACAUAUGAAUGUCCUCGUUAGAAUAAAGAAGAUGUGUAUGGUUUACAUUUAAAGGUAGAAAUGCAUCUUUGUUGCUUUGUUUGUUUGUUUAACCUUUAAAAAAUCAGCCUGUUAAUCAGUUAAGUUUCACCUGAAGCUCUGUGUAACAUAUUCCUGCCAGAGGAGACAGAUGCCUAAACUCUGUAUGACUAGAGAGUUAUAACAGUGACAUUGGUCCAUUCCAUUUUGACUCCUGGACUAAUUAAAUAUACAUGGAGGGUAAAUAACUGCAAUAGCAUGCUAGCCUAGUUCAGAAGCCAGGAUAGACUCUAUCCUGGUGGCAAGACAGACAUGCUACCUUUAAGACUAGGCAGUAGGAAUGGUCAAUUAAAUGUGAUGAGCUGGGAGAGACUAAAACAGAGGCGAGGCAGGGAAGCACAAGGUGCUUCAAGCAAUGGUGGCUCUCCCAAGCAGAUCCACUGUUACAAAGAAAAGAGAGGAAGCAGUGCAUGGGCAGUGCAGGAGGAGGAAGAGGAGUCUGAGAAACAACCAGAAAGAUAGGUGAGAGCUAGUGCGCAGAGGCCUCAGUGAAGACCAGACAGGGCUGGCAAGACCAUGUGGAAGCCACCUGAGGGUAUGUGCUGGGCGUGUAGCACCUAAAGUGAAAUUGCAUAUGAGAGGACGCAGGAAACAGGUUACUUGACCCAUCUUCUUACAUAUAAACGUCUCAUGUUGAAUCAAAUCAAGAAGCAAAGAAGAAUAGGAUCAUAGCUGCCAUGAAAGACCCUAAGAGGCAAUAAGAGAAGCACAAAGCACAGCCAACCUUCACUAUUUAUAACUUCCAAGGACCGACCAGAGUGUGUGCAUCCUACCUCAGCGUGUAAUCCUUCCCACAAUGUGCUGCGAUCAGAGAUGCCACAUCUGCAACCCCAGUGGAAAGUGCCCAGGCCCAGAGCUGUGGGUCUGUGGCUAGCCAGCUGCCUCACCCACUGAGGACUGCCCUCCCUGCCCUCCUGGGACAGCAAGCUCUUCAUUCUGUGCCUCUGCAGAACGAUUCUUAGAAUCCACCCCAGUGCAGGAUAAGUUGCAGCUUUUAAUACUACCACUUUCCCAAGGGAUAUUUUAAAGUGGCUUGACCUUUCCAUGAUGAACUGACUUAGACCCAGACCCCGCUCAGGAGUCCCACGGAAGGUCCCAACACUGCCCGUGUCUCAGGUUUCAUUUUGAAGUUUAGCUUUAAACACUUCAUUAACCACAGUUUCCCUCACACCAGGCCCUGACAUCUACAAAUGCUUCUUUUCACUGUAUGCCUCCACCCAGCCCUGGCAUUGCCCAGCUAUGAAGGUGCUGUCCGAGCAGCCCCAGGUGCCUUUGGCCAUAAGAACAGGAAACGGGGACACCCUCAAGCCACAUUCAGCUGCGCAUGGCUGCUUUUUUUUUUUUGAGUUCCAAUAUUAAGGUCAGCCAGUUAAUUUUAAUUGAGAUAUACAUCAUAGUGGGCGUCUCAGCACAUUGCCGUUGACAUGUGAGGUAAGCUAUUCCUAAUGAAGUAUCGCACCUAAUGGCUGAUUCUAAAAUGGAGAGUACUCUGAAUUGAACUCAUCACUAAUCGUUUUUCUUCACAUUCCACUUAAUUCUGGUAUUGAGAACUCAUUUAUUUUAAAAGUUAAAACAUUAACCAGUUCCUCUUUAAGAAAAAAAGAAGACCCCAAUAGUAUAUCAGCUGAACAGUUCUCCCAGUUUUCCAGACUCUGUUAUUUAUGAAUUUACUUUCUGUAGUUGUUCACCACUGCCACCUGUUUUAUUGGAGGGAUUGCGUGAGACAGGGCUUCACUAUGUGACCCUAGUUGUCCUGGCAAUCGCUUUGUAACCAAAGUUGUGGAGAUCCACCUGCCUUUGCCUCCAAAUGCUAGAAUCAAAAUGUAUACCACCACACCGCACCCACCUUUUAAUUUUUUUAAUUAAUUUUCAUUCAAGUAUAAUUAUGAGGCUGAAGAGAAAUAUGCAAGGUGAAGAGCACUUGCUGCUCUUGCAGAAGCCCCAGGUUCAAUACCCAGCAGCCACAUGGUGUUUCAUAACCAUCCAUAACUCCAGUUCUAGGCGAUGCAAUGCCCUGUUCGUACUUUCUUGGAUGCCAAGCAUGUAUGUGUAUGUACAUACAUGCAAUCAGAACACUCACGUAUAAAAUAAAAAUGAAAUCUAAUAAAAAGUAAAAAAUAUAAUUGUUUCUCUUCGUUCCUGUUUCUUCCCCCAACCUUCCCAUUCCCCCUCAAAAUCAUGGCCUCUGUCUAUAAUUGUUAUUGUUUUACACACACACACACAUAUGUUGUGUGUAUGUAUAUAUGUAUGUGUAUGUAUAUGUGUGUGUAUAUACGUAUAUAUGUAUAUGUAUAUAUACAUAAGUACAACCUGCUGAUUCCUUUUUGUGUUGCGUACAUGUACGUGACUUCUGAGCUGACCACCUGAUAUUGGAUAAUCAAUUAGGGGACUCCUCCCUGGGGAAAGAGAACUCCCACCCUUAGUUGCUAUAGCUCUUUGUUUAAAGGCAGAACCCAUAAUACUUCCCCUUCCACUUUCGCCUGUCUAUUGGGUUGUCCUUGUUCAGAUCUUGUUUAGACAGCCAUAGUGUUGAGGGAGCAUAGCUACAGCUUCCCUGCCAUUUCUAGGAGACAAUUUCACAGCACAUCUCCAGGUCCUCUGGCUCUUUAAUCUUUCCACCUCCUCUUCUGACAUAGUUCAUGAGCCUUCAGUGUAGGAGUUGUGUAUUCCUUGGGAUGCACCCCCUACGUGAUUAUGGUUAUUUUCUGCAUCAGGACCAGUUGUUGUUUUCUGUGAUAGUCCUGUAUCUGCUGCAGAGAGGGCUCCUUUGAUAAGAGCUACUUUUCUGUAGCAUACCAUUUCAAAGACUCCAAAACAGAAAACUUGCUCUAGCCAUUGAAGAGGAAAUUUCCUGCCCAAGUAUUUAGCUUUAACUUGAAUGAAGAGCUCUCUUCUUCCCAGCCCAGUGCCAGGGCUGAGGCUGCUCUGGGUGAGAGCAGAGACUCCUGGGCUUGUGCUGAACAAAGAAUGAUUUCCUUUAAAUCACUCCGAGGGGGUAUGGUAGGAUGUACUUGUGAUUCCAACAUUUGGGAGGUGCAGGCAGAGAGAUGGGUUCAAGGUCAUCUUCCACUUCAUACCAUGUUCAAGGCCAGCCUGGCUAUAUAAUAAUUCUGUC